UGAGUAACCUGCCCUUCACUCUGGGAUAACUCCGGGAAACCGGGGCUAAUACUGGAUAUGACUCGAACAGGCAUCUGUUUCGGGUGGAAAGAUUUAUUGGUGGAGGAUGGACUCGCGGCCUAUCAGCUUGUUGGUGAGGUAAUGGCUCACCAAGGCGACGACGGGUAGCUGGUCUGAGAGGAUGGCCAGCCACAUUGGGACUGAGACACGGCCCAGACUCCUACGGGAGCA
rnacentral:rRNA from 1 species